GCCGUCGUGGCUUAGUGGUAUAGCGGCUGAUUCGUAAUCAGCAGGCCGGGGGUUCGAAUCCCCCCGACGGCU
rfam:Methanohalophilus mahii DSM 5219, complete genome.